ACCAGCUGUGCAGUUCUAGAGCAUCUAGGCAGCUUAAAGGGUGCAGGCAUCCGCAGUUGGACCACCUUCGACAGACACCGUGCAGCGUGCGGUGUCUGUUUU
rnacentral:sRNA from 3 species